CUUUUAUAAGCAAUUUCAAGCAGCCCACACAACGCUUGGUCGAUCCUGCAUCCUAUUGGUCAGUUUGAAAAAUUGCGUUAGAAAUAAUUUAUUCAUCGAUGUUCUGGCAUUUACCACCAAUUGCUGUAAUGGCUUGUAUUUAGAUAACAUCCCCCACUGGACGAGUUAGAAGUCAACUUUCUUGUAUUUAUAAAAGGCAAUGCGGAUAUGUAGCUUUGCCAGAUAUAAAUAAUGUUAGCUUUUCGGAUGAAAAAUGUCCACACGAAUGGAAUCGGGCAAAUAUUUUAGUUUGCAUAUAACUUAUGAACUGGCCGCAUUUUUGGUUCAAUGGUCAGCUCGCGCAAGGGCCGUUAAGCCGGUGGGAAAAAA